CUUGCAGGAACAAAGGGUGUAUGGUGGAUACCUUGGUAUCAAGAAGCGAUGAAGGACGUGUAAUGGCUGCGAUAAGUUUCGGUGAGGUGCCAAUUAACCUUUGACCCGGAAAUGUCCGAAUGGGGAAACCCUCCUGUCAUCGGCAGGAAUCCUUGUAUGAGGAUGCUUACCUAGGGAAGUGAAACAUCUCAGUACCUAGAGGAAUAGAAAGCAAUAUACGGAAUUUUCUUUCUGAACAGAUGCUUAGCAUCUCGUUCAGGGACUUGUUCCUGAACGUUGGUGCGUAAGUGCCAUUAUGUUCAGGAAGAAGAUUCUUGCGAUUCCCUGAGUAGCGGCGAGCGAAACGGGAACAGCCCAAACCAUACGUAUUUAUAUGUGUGGGGUUGUAGGGCGGAAUUAGCAUUUAGUUGCGAAGAGUUACAAAGUUGAUAUAUAGGAAAACACGCUGGGAAGCGUGACCCCAGAAGGUAAUAGUCCUGUAUCCGAAAUAUAUCAGCCUCUUUUGGUUCCGUUCCUGAGUAGUCCGAGACACGAAUAGCUCGGAUGAAUCUGCCAGAACUAACUGGUAAGGCUAAAUAUUCUUGAUGACCGAUAGUGAACAAGUACCGUGAGGGAAAGGUGAAAAGAACCCCGGAGAGGGGAGUGAAAUAGAUUUGAAACCAUACACCUACAAGGAGUCGGAGCCCGAAAGGGUGACGGCGUGCCUAUUGAAGAAUGAGCCGGCGAGUGUACCUUUAUCCCUUGUCUAAGUGGCAACCCCACGGAGGCACAGUGAAAGCGAGCGUGAAUAGCGCGACUAUGGGGUAGGGGUACGACCCGAAGCGGGAUGAGCUUGCCAUGAGCAGGGUGAAGCGACUGUAAUAGGUCGUGGAGGCCCGAACCGGUUGGCCGUACAAAACCAUCGGAUGACUUGUGGUAAGGAGUGAAAAGCU
rnacentral:rRNA from 1 species